rnacentral:rRNA from 1 species
AGUGAACGCUGGCGGUAGGCCUAACACAUGCAAGUCGAACGGCAGCACAGUAAGAGCUUGCUCUUACGGGUGGCGAGUGGCGGACGGGUGAGGAAUACAUCGGAAUCUACUUUUUCGUGGGGGAUAACGUAGGGAAACUUACGCUAAUACCGCAUACGACCUACGGGUGAAAGCAGGGGAUCUUCGGACCUUGCGCGAUUGAAUGAGCCGAUGUCGGAUUAGCUAGUUGGCGGGGUAAAGGCCCACCAAGGCGACGAUCCGUAGCUGGUCUGAGAGGAUGAUCAGCAACACUGGAACUGAGACACGGUCCAGACUCCUACGGGAGGCAGCAGUGGGGAAUAUUGGACAAUGGGCGCAAGCCUGAUCCAGCCAUACCGCGUGGGUGAAGAAGGCCUUCGGGUUGUAAAGCCCUUUUGUUGGGAAAGAAAAGCAGCAGGUUAAUACCCCGCUGUUCUGACGGUACCCAAAGAAUAAGCACCGGCUAAUUUCGUG